UACAGAGGUCUCAAGCGUUGUUCGGAUUCAUUGGGCGUAAAGGGUGCGUAGGCGGCGCGGUAAGUCGGAUGUGAAAUCUCGGGGCUUAACUCCGAAACUGCAUUCGAUACUGCCGUGCUUGAGGACUGGAGAGGAGACUGGAAUUUACGGUGUAGCGGUGAAAUGCGUAGAUAUCGUAAGGAAGACCAGUGGCGAAGGCGGGUCUCUGGACAGUUCCUGACGCUGAGGCACGAAGGUCCAGGGGAGCAAACGGG
rnacentral:rRNA from 1 species